rnacentral:rRNA from 1 species
ACGGGUGAGUAACACGUGGGUAACCUGCCUGUAAGACUGGGAUAACUCCGGGAAACCGGAGCUAAUACCGGAUAGUUCCUUGAACCGCAUGGUUCAAGGAUGAAAGACGGUUUCGGCUGUCACUUACAGAUGGACCCGCGGCGCAUUAGCUAGUUGGUGAGGUAACGGCUCACCAAGGCGACGAUGCGUAGCCGACCUGAGAGGGUGAUCGGCCACACUGGGACUGAGACACGGCCCAGACUCCUACGGGAGGCAGCAGUAGGGAAUCUUCCGCAAUGGACGAAAGUCUGACGGAGCAACGCCGCGUGAGUGAUGAAGGUUUUCGGAUCGUAAAGCUCUGUUGUUAGGGAAGAACAAGUGCAAGAGUAACUGCUUGCACCUUGACGGUACCUAACCAGAAAGCCACGGCUAACUACGUGCCAGCAGCCGCGGUAAUACGUAGGUGGCAAGCGUUGUCCGGAAUUAUUGGGCGUAAAGGGCUCGCAGGCGGUUUCUUAAGUCUGAUGUGAAAGCCCCCGGCUCAACCGGGGAGGGUCAUUGGAAACUGGGAAACUUGAGUGCAGAAGAGGAGAGUGGAAUUCCACGUGUAGCGGUGAAAUGCGUAGAGAUGUGGAGGAACACCAGUGGCGAAGGCGACUCUCUGGUCUGUAACUGACGCUGAGGAGCGAAAGCGUGGGGAGCGAACAGGAUUAGAUACCCUGGUAGUCCACGCCGUAAACGAUGAGUGCUAAGUGUUAGGGGGUUUCCGCCCCUUAGUGCUGCAGCUAACGCAUUAAGCACUCCGCCUGGGGAGUACGGUCGCAAGACUGAAACUCAAAGGAAUUGACGGGGGCCCGCACAAGCGGUGGAGCAUGUGGUUUAAUUCGAAGCAACGCGAAGAACCUUACCAGGUCUUGACAUCCUCUGACAACCCUAGAGAUAGGGCUUUCCCUUCGGGGACAGAGUGACAGGUGGUGCAUGGUUGUCGUCAGCUCGUGUCGUGAGAUGUUGGGUUAAGUCCCGCAACGAGCGCAACCCUUGAUCUUAGUUGCCAGCAUUCAGUUGGGCACUCUAAGGUGACUGCCGGUGACAAACCGGAGGAAGGUGGGGAUGACGUCAAAUCAUCAUGCCCCUUAUGACCUGGGCUACACACGUGCUACAAUGGACAGAACAAAGGGCUGCGAGACCGCAAGGUUUAGCCAAUCCCACAAAUCUGUUCUCAGUUCGGAUCGCAGU